rnacentral:rRNA from 1 species
UACGUAGGGUGCGAGCGUUGUCCGGAUUUAUUGGCGUAAAGAGCUCGUAGGCGGUUUGUCGCGUCGGCCGUGAAAUCUCCACGCUUAACGUGGAGCGUGCGGUCGAUACGGGCAGACUUGAGCUCGGUAGGGGAGACUGGAAUUCCUGGUGUAGCGGUGAAAUGCGCAGAUAUCAGGAGGAACACCGGUGGCGAAGGCGGGUCUCUGGGCCGAUACUGACGCUGAGGAGCGAAAGCGUGGGGAGCGAACAGG